UCUCCGUAGGUGAACCUGCGGAGGGAUCAUUACAGAGUUCAUGCCCUACCGGGUAGAUCUCCCACCCUAUGUUAUUAUUACUUUGUUGCUUUGGCGGGCCGUUAGGCUCCGGCCCGACUACCGGCCCCGGCUGGUAAGCGCCCGCCAGAGGACCCAAAACCCUGAAUAUUAGUGUCGUCUGAGUACUAUAUAAUAGUUAAAACUUUCAACAACGGGUCUCUUGGUUCUG
rnacentral:misc_RNA from 1 species